UACAGAGGUGGCAAGCGUUGUUCGGAAUUACUGGGCGUAAAGGGCGCGUAGGCGGCUUGGUCAGUCCCGUGUGAAAUCCCUCGGCUCAACUGAGGAACUGCACGGGAAACUGCCUGGCUUGAGUUCGGGAGAGGAAAGUGGAAUUCCUGGUGUAGCGGUGAAAUGCGCAGAUAUCAGGAAGAACACCAAUGGCGAAGGCAGAUCUCUGGGCCGUAACUGACGCUGAGGAGCGAAAGCAUGGGGAGCGAACAGG
rnacentral:rRNA from 1 species